UUACGGCCACACCACCUUGAAACACCUGUUCCCGUACGAUCACCGUAGUUAAGCAACGUCGAGCCUGACAAGAUGGGUGACCGUUUGGGAAUUCAACG